rnacentral:lncRNA from 1 species
CUAGAGGACAAGCUGCCCAUAGGGCCCAUGCAUUGAAAUCGGUCACUGCGAGAGCGCCACCAUUAUGAUACGCUGAUGUUGCCAGCUCCUGAGACGCUUGCUAGACUUGGCGAUAGUAAUCAGCUUUAAUCUGGCAACCUAUGGUAGUAGCAGCCUAGCAGCAU